GGUCCUCAACCUGUAAAAACCUGUAGAAUGUGCCUGUACGUGUAGCAUUUUUGCUCACGAGACAGCAACCGCCGCCUUGCCCGCCACCCCUGCCUCCGUCCGUUGUACGCACACAUGCUCCAGACCUGGAGCACGCGCGCAAGAAAGCUUUUGGCUCGAAGCGUGCGCACACACUGCUGGUCAGGAGCUUGCACACACGAGACGCAGCACCGCUUCGCUCCUAGAACACGGCAGUAGCUAGCGAGUGAGCACGGCAGCAUGCCAGAACACACAAACACACGUGCGCGCCGCGCGCACACCACGCCCUCGUCGAGCUCGCCUCCGUGCGCCUCGACGGCACGCGCGCACACACCCAUGGCCACGUUCGCCAGCACACAAACGCGCACACCUCCGGAGGGCAACCUGGACGCGGGAGAGCUCGCCGCGAGCCGCGAGCAAGAUGUUGGUAGCCUGGUAGGAGACGGGAAGCUCACCGCGAGCCGGGCGCCUCACAAUGCUCGGUGCUCUGUGCCGCCGCAUUGCUGCAUCCAACUCCGACAAGCAAUUGCUGCCGGAUAUCAGUGCCUCCAACUACCAUGUCAUGGUCACCUCGCCGCCGCGAACCAACCCGGCCACCCCAUGAAAAAAGGCGACCAGGGGAACGCCGAUCUCGACCACAACCGUACUGCCCCGUCGUCUUCGUCGACUCCGGCGAGACCUCAUGGACGGGAUCUCUGCGCGUGGUAACGACCUCGAUGAGCCGGCGGACAAGCCAAUCUUCCGGUUCUGGCUGAAGGGCGCCGUCGAGCUCGUACUGCGUUCCGUGCUCGCCGUUGACUUCGCCACCUAGCUGCUUCGCGCUCGCGAUGCUGGGGUGGCUUUGCUGCGUGGCCGGUGGAGGAACGUUGGGUGAUGAACGCCUGUAAGUGAUCGGGGGAGGGGCGCUUCGCGACCUCUGGACGGCAGCAGCAGCAAGACCGGCUCCAGUAGGCGUCGGCAUUCGGUGAGGCUGUGCUUGAGCAUCUAUUAGACCUACCUGCAAAUGAAACAGCUAUGUUGGGACAGGAACGAAGAAAGCUACGUAGUUCACAAGGAGCAGACAAAACAGCCUUGCAGCAAACUUCAUCGCUGCCUCAAAGCCGAAAGCAAAAAUCCAGAGAAACCCUUGAGUACGACCGUCUGUCGAGACAGUAAAGCUCAAUGUUGAUGCCGCGUUCGACCCUGAUUCACUGCAAGGUACUGUUAGUGCUGUAUUGCGGGACAACUCUGGGAAAUUCUUGGCAGCAGGAAACAAUGUAGCUAGGGAAUGCAUGUAUGCUCUAAUUGUCGAAGCCCUUGCACUUCGGUUUGGUCUCAAUUUGGCGCAAAGCUAUGGGUGCUCAAUUUGGCGCAAAGCCCGGUUCGAGCAUUGCCAUCGUGGGGCAAAUUCAGCUGCUCAUGAGUUAGCAAGAUUAACUAAGUUCUCCCCCCCUAGUACUUGGUUUGAUGAGGCCCUAGUGCCUUGGUCCCUUUUAUUGUAAAAGAUUCUUUGUGUAUUUACCACUGAAUAAAUAAAGGGAUUUGGAGAGUUAAAAAA